rnacentral:rRNA from 1 species
GACGAACGCUGGCGGCGUGCUUAACACAUGCAAGUCGAACGGAAAGGCCCUGCUUUUGUGGGGUGCUCGAGUGGCGAACGGGUGAGUAACACGUGAGUAACCUGCCCUUGACUUUGGGAUAACUUCAGGAAACUGGGGCUAAUACCGGAUAGGAGCUCCUGCUGCAUGGUGGGGGUUGGAAAGUUUCGGCGGUUGGGGAUGGACUCGCGGCUUAUCAGCUUGUUGGUGGGGUAGGGGCUUACCAAGGCUUUGACGGGUAGCCGGCCUGGGAGGGUGACCGGCCACAUUGGGACUGAGAUACGGCCCAGACUCCUACGGGAGGCAGCAGUGGGGAAUAUUGCACAAUGGGCGGAAGCCUGAUGCAGCAACGCCGCGUGCGGGAUGACGGCCUUCGGGUUGUAAACCGCUUUCGCCUGUGACGAAGCGUGAGUGACGGUAAUGGGUAAAGAAGCACCGGCUAACUACGUG